rnacentral:rRNA from 1 species
UACGAAGGGGGCUAGCGUUGUUCGGAUUUACUGGGCGUAAAGCGCACGUAGGCGGAUCGUUAAGUCGGGGGUGAAAUCCUGGAGCUCAACUCCAGAACUGCCUUCGAUACUGGCGAUCUAGAGUCCGGAAGAGGUGAGUGGAACUCCUAGUGUAGAGGUGGAAUUCGUAGAUAUUAGGAAGAACACCGGUGGCGAAGGCGACUUCCUGGCCUGUUCUUGACGCUGAGGCGCGAAAGCUGGGGGAGCAAACGGG